AGCAGCCGCAGUAAUUUCAGCUCCAAUAGUGUAUAUUAAAGUUGUUGCAGUUAAAAGCUCGUAGUUGAAUUUUGGGAUCAGUUGGUCGGUCGUGUCUUGGUACGUACUGGUCAAAUUGAUUCCCACCUUCUGACGAAUCACAAUGUCAUUAAUUUGGUGUCGCAGGAAUCAGGACUGUUACUUUGAAAAAUUGAGUGUUUAAAGCAGGCUCGUGCUUGAAUACAUUAGCAUAGAAUAAUGAAAUAAGACGUUUGAUUCUAUUUU
rnacentral:misc_RNA from 1 species